rnacentral:tRNA from 1 species
AGAGGGGUGUCCGAGUGGCUUAAGGUGCAAUCUUGGAAAGGUUGUGUGGGGGUAACCUCACCGAGAGUUCGAAUCUCUUCCCCUCUGCCA